rnacentral:rRNA from 1 species
UACGAAGGGGGCUAGCGUUGUUCGGAAUUACUGGGCGUAAAGAGCUCGUAGGCGGCUCGUCGCGUCGACCGUGAAAACCCGCGGCUUAACUGCGGGCUUGCGGUUGAUACGGGCGGGCUAGAGUUCGGUAGGGGAGACUGGAAUUCCUGGUGUAGCGGUGAAAUGCGCAGAUAUCAGGAGGAACACCGGUGGCGAAGGCGACUUCCUGGCCUGUUCUUGACGCUGAGGCGCGAAAGCUAGGGUAGCAAACGGG